rnacentral:rRNA from 1 species
AAGUCGUAACAAGGUUUCCGUAGGUGAACCUGCGGAAGGAUCAUUAAAGAAAUUGGAAUAUUCAAUUCUCAAACCCACCCUGUGUACUUGUACUUGUUGCUUCCGUGGGCAGUGAAAAAUUGUUUUUUUGCGCCCGCCAGUACGGCGGACCCACGGUAAACAUUAAACCCAGCCUUUUAGUAUCGUCAGUCUGAUUAUGUUUAUUGAAUAAACGUCAAAACUUUCAACAACGGAUCUCUUGGUUCUCGCAUCGAUGAAGAACGCAGCGAAAUGCGAUAAGUAGUGUGAAUUGCAGAAUUCCGUGAAUCAUCGAAUCUUUGAACGCACAUUGCGCCUCCUGGCAUUCCGGGAGGCAUGCCUGUUCGAGCGUCAUCAAAAACCCUCAAGCUUGGAUUCAUCCAUGACUUGGUAUUGGCAUCGGAGUGCGCUUAUGCCAUUCCCAUCCGAAAUCCCAUGGCGGUGUUGUCCAUACCGAUGAGCGUAGUGAUCAACAUUAUGUUUCGCUCUCGUACGGAUCAUAUCUAGCCGCAAACCCCCAAUCUCAAGUGUUGACCUC